GAACUUUUUUGUUAUGCUCCUUCUCCUCAUCCCCCUCCCUUUCCCCUAUUCUGACUUCUUCUCCUUCUCUUUCUCCUUCUCUCCCUCCUCCUUCUUCUUCCUCUUCUUUUUGGGGACUACACAAAAGAGGAGAUAAUUUAGGUGGGGCAUGGAUAAGAAGGGAAGAUUCAGAAGCUUAUGAAAGAGGAGUGGAACUCUGGAGAGGCAAAUGACAUGAGGCAUACUGAAGCAGCAUGAGCUGGAGUGAGGGUGAUGGAACAGAAAAUGCUCCUGCAGUUUUCACAGAACCAGUGCUGGAAACAUCAGCAUGCUGUGGGGUCCUUGAACUCACCUGGCUCCAGGUUUUCCAUGAAAAUAGCUUCAGUUCAUUCUUUAACUCAUGGAAAAACACAAGUAAGUGAUCUAGUGUUAACCUAUGUGUAGCCAAGGGUAGUUAGAAAGUAACAAUGAUAUAAAAUGCUUUACUAGGAUAUAUCAUUUAAAAGCUCCAAGUUCUACAAAUUUUGAUUCUAUCUCCUUCCAAAGAGACAAAGAGGCAUCCCUUUCUCUACAUUUGAAUCCAGUAUGUUGGCUUCCUUUAAGGAAUUUCUAGCUGAAAUCUUAUCUGCAGUACUUGGACAAAUUCUGCUUCUUGCCAUUUGUCUGACAGCAAUGAAAUUUCAAAUAUGAUCCAGGCUGUGAAGUCUGGCCCUUGUCAGCUCCUGUUUUGACCUUUUCACUAUUCCCUGUUCUGGCUGACUGGCCAUUUGCCAGCCUCUCCUGGAGGUUGGUCAGGUUCUAAGGACUGGAAGAAUGGCAUCACCAGCUAACCAGCAAACCAACUAUUGAAAAGGUCAGGACAAGCAUGUCUGCUCUACAGCUGCAUAGAGAACCACACCAAUGUAUGCACAAAAUUUAGAUGGAUAGAGGCAACACUGUGAAAACAUUCUGUUCUAGUAUUAUUGCAACAAAAAUGAAGAAAUUUGAAUAAUAUUGAUUAUUUCACACUAGAGCACACUGAUGUAAAAACUUCCAUUUUAUAAUUAAAGUAUAUAGUAAUGGAAGGCUAUGACUGUUUCUAGCUUAUACUCAACACUGGAUUUUUUCAAGUAAGAAUUUUUGAAUAAGAUCCCCCUCAAAUAACUGAUUUUUCUUAUUUUG
rnacentral:lncRNA from 1 species